UAUUACUAGAAUAAAAUAGUUGAUCCCAAAAACAAAAUGGCGCUGAAUCAGAUCACAGUUGUCGGAAAUCAUUUUACAAUUUCCCCCUUAUGGAUUACGACUUUCGACACAAAUAAUUGCAGGCAGUAGUGAAGGAAGCUGUUUUGGAGAAAACAAAUUGUUCGUCAAUUUCUGCUUUAUCGCUCGCAUUGUCAAAUUCGAUUCCGACACAAACGAAAUGAGCAAUUAUUUAAUUCAUAUCUGAAUCUGCAUGCUAUCGAGUCACGAUGGAUAAAGUAGUAGGGUGGAGUUUGAAGAGCUUCAGAACAUUAUUGGUUGUGGCUUCUGUAACCUUCCCUAUUUUAGUCACAUUUACUCUCAUACGCCAAAACUCAACUUUUGAUGUCGUCCAAGGAUUUAACGCCUUGACUGGAAGAACCCAGAAUACUACUACUAAUGUCGUAAAACAAGGGACACAAAAUGCUACUACUGCUGAUGUCUUAAAACAAGGGUCUCCAAAUGCUGGAGUUCAAGCUGGGAGACAAAAAGAUCAGAAUAUUAUUAUUAGAGAGUCAGCUGUAGACAAGAUUUUGGGAGACAAAAAUAAAAAUGCUACACCUGGGAUCUUAGAAGAACGAAAUCAGGCAAUAACAAUCUCAGACAUUGGUCUAAAGAAUCAUUCAUUUGAAGAUGGGAAGAAUGUUCCGUCCCCACCUACUACUACCAUUGCUAAUGACAAACUCCUUGACGGACUUCUAGUUUCCUCAUUUGAUGAAGCAUCGUGCUUAAGUAGAUACCAAACUUACUUAUACCGUAAAGCUUCUCCUCAUAAACCUUCUAAAUAUCUGAUAUCCAAGCUACGAGACUAUGAACAUCUUCAUCGAAGUUGUGGACCUUAUACCAAAUUCUACAAUAAAAUCAUGAGAAAGGGCGCAAAAUUUAGCAAAAAUGGUACCAGUACGAAGUGCAAGUAUCUUGUCUGGACAGCUUCCAAUGGCUUAGGGAAUAGGAUAGUAACCUUGGCUGCAGCAUUUCUUUAUGCUAUCCUUACAGACCGUGUUCUACUAGUCAAAUUCGGGGCAGAUAUGUUUGGUCUCUUUUGUGAGCCAUUUCCUGAUUCCUCAUGGUUAUUGCCCAGGAAUUUUCCUUAUUGGAAAGAUCAGAAACAUAUUGAAACGUAUGAAAGCAUGUUACAGAAUAGCAGGGAAAACAGUUCACAGGAGUUUUUGCCAUCAUUUCUUAUUCUUAAUCUACAGCACACCCAUGACGGUCACAAUAAUUUUUUUCAUUGCGAUCCAAGUCAAGAUCUUCUCCAGAAAAUUCCUGUGCUGAUUUUAUUGUCGGAUCAAUAUUUUGUCCCUUCUCUUUUUAUGAUUCCGUCAUUUAGACAAGAUCUAAGUAAAAUGUUCCCGGAGAAAGACACAGUUUUUCAUCAUUUGGGACGUUACCUUUUACACCCAUCAAAUGAGCCAUGGGAAAUAAUUAGAAAAUUCUAUGAGGCACACCUAGCCAAGGCAAAUGAGAGGAUUGGGCUGCAGAUUAGAGUAUUUAAUACUCAUCGAGCACCACAUCAAACCAUUAUCAAUGAAAUUAUGGCCUGCGCCCUUCAGCAUAAGUUGCUGCCUGAUUUUGACAUACAAAAGUCAACAACUUCUCCUUUGAAGAAGACCUCAAAAGCUGUUCUGGUAGCAUCUUUAUUCUCAGAAUAUGGUGAGAAGCUGAAGAAUAUGUAUCAGGAAAAUACAACUGUGACGAUGGAAGUAAUAAGAGUUUAUCAACCAAGUCAUGAAGAGCGUCAAAAGUCAAAUAAUGACAUGCACAACAUUAAGGCAUGGACUGAAAUAUAUUUGCUGAGUUUGUGUGAUGCAUUGAUUACAAGCCCCAAGUCUACUUUUGGGUAUGUUGCUCAUAGUCUUGGAGGUUUGAAGCCAUGGAUUUUGCAGAGGGCAUACGGGGAAACCAUCCCAAACCCACCUUGUCGACAAGCCAAGUCCAUGGAGCCUUGUUUCCAUUAUCCUCCCAAGUAUGACUGUAGGGUCAACAGCACAGUUGAUUUUACUUCACUUUUUCAUCAUAUGAAGCAUUGUGAAGAUGUAUCUAGUGGAUUGAGGCUGGUUAAUACUAAUCACUAGGUAAUGAACAAACUCAAUAUGAGAAUCGAGUCAUUGGCUUUGCCAACUAAUGUCAAUAAUUCCUGUUUGCUCUAAUAUUUAACUACAUUACUUUCUUCUUUGUUUGACAGCAUUUGAGGUUGUCAUGAACAAUAGAAACAUCCCUUGGUUUUGCAAUUUCCUCAUCUCACUUUUCACUAUUUCCAGUCACUCAGGGAUCCUCAUAUUUCUAAAUAUCUGGGUUAGAGGCUAAAGAUUUUAUUUUUUGCAAGGCAAAUUGAAUGCGGGCAUUUGUGUGCUCCCAUGUAUGUAAUUGUGGUGUUGUGGAUCACGUGACUGAAAUCCUCUUCUAGUGCCUGUGCUAAUAUAUUUUUUUAACCUUGGUGAUUUGUUUUAUAGGCCAUAGACAAAUUUCCAGUAAUACCAAAUGGACUGCAACUGAUUAGGAUACUGUUCUCCACCAUGUAAUCCUGCCCUACAAAAUGGUUAUCUGGAUUCGAACCCGUUCACAACAUUGAAGGUGGUUUGUGUUCAUGGGGACUACUGGUAAUGUUUGAAAGCUUUAAGAAUGAGUGGCAUUGGAGCAGGGAUCGUGUUGGUUCUCCAUUCUGAGAAAGGCCAUUGUAGAUAUAAUUCAACUUGGGAAGGAUGGUCUGUCAACAGAAACCCACACAAGAUAUAUGCAUCAUUCAGUAUCCUAUAUGCAUCAUUCAUUAGAUAUAAUUCUCAAGGCAUGUUAUGAUUAGUUUGGCUAAAUGGUUCUUGCCAAUAACUCCUUUUCACCCCUUGUUUUUACUGUUAUUUGUUCAUUAACUUACAUCAUUAAAUUGUGUAUUUAGAAAUUUUGUAAUAUUCAAACAAUCAAUUUUGUAAUAUUGUUAUAUAUCUAAA